rnacentral:rRNA from 1 species
CGGCGUGCCUAACUACAUGCAAGGUACGAACGGAGUUUAUAAAGCGGAAGUUUUCGGGAUGGGAAGCUUGUAAACUUAGGUGGACGGACGGGUGAGUAACGCGUGGGUAACCUGCCUUGUACUGGGGGAUAACACUUAGAAAUAGGUGCUAAUACCGCAUAAUCAUAAGAACUCGCAUGAGAAAUUAUGGAAAACUCCGGUGGUACAAGAUGGACCCGCGUCUGAUUAGUUAGUUGGUGGGGUAAUGGCCUACCCAAGACGACGAUCAGUAGCCGGCCUGAGAGGGUGACCGGCCACAUUGGGACUGAGACACGGCCCAAACUCCUACGGGAGGCAGCAGUGGGGAAUAUUGCACAAUGGGGGGAAACCCUGAAUGCAGCGACGCCGCGUGAGUGAAGAAGUAUUUCGGUACGUAAAGCUCUAUCAGCAGGGAAGAAAAUGACGGUACCUGACUAAGAAGCCCCGGCUAACUACGUGCCAGCAGCCGC